rnacentral:misc_RNA from 1 species
AACGCACAUUGCGCCCCCUGGUAUUCCGGCGGGCAUGCCUGUUCGAGCGUCAUUUCAACCCUCAAGCUUUGCUUGGUAUUGGUGGCAGGCCUCUAAUGGCCUCCCCCGAAAAAUAGCGGCGGAUAGUUUGGAUUCCCAGCGCAGUGACUUUUAAUUCUCGCUGAAAAGGAUCCCCAGGCUCUCCUGCCGGACAACAAACAAUUUUUUCUUAUGGUUGACCUCGGAUCAGGUAGGGAUACCCGCUGAACUUAA